CACCUCCCCUCCCUGGGGUGUGGCGGGGGCAGUCUGGAUGGUCUUGCUCUCAUCUGGACUCCUCAGAAUGUUAACAAUCGCCUCCACUUUAAGGGCUGACGUUCUCCCUGUAAGAAAAUGUCCAAGACAGACGACCACAUAACCUGCUAUUACAACCAUCAGCUUGAACUGAGAGGUACAACACCCUGGAACCAAGCAUAUGCUGUGAAUGAAGAGAGGCUGAAAAUCCCUGUAUCUGAAAGAGAUCUCAGCCUUGUUGCAAGUCACAUUGGGAUCGGGUUUGAGUG